rnacentral:snoRNA from 1 species
CUCCCAUGAUGAGGACAUGCGGUGACGUAUUCCUGCAGCCUUUCCCAUGCUUCAGGGGUCAUCUCGUCUCUUGUCUGCUAGAAGCUGGAUAUUCUUCCACGAAGUG